rfam:Dipodomys ordii contig_61298, whole genome shotgun sequence.
GGGAAUGUGGCUUAGUGGUAGAGUGCUUGCCUAGCAUGCAUGAAGCCAAGGGGUUGAUUCCUCAGUACCA